GGGAGAUGGCUCAGGGGUUAAGAGCACUGACUGUUCUUCUGGAGGUCCUGAGUUCAAAUCCCAGCAACCA
rnacentral:tRNA from 1 species